UUGAUCGUACUUCUAUAGAAACUCAUGGGGUUGCCAGUUAGUAUAUUUUAUUUCAAUUAUUGUCAUCCUAUUUAUCUGAUAAUACGUAUCAGUGAUUAACUGUAUAAGCGCACAAAGUAUUUCCCCAGUGAAUGAUCAAUGUUAGUUCAGUGAUUGUUUAUUAAUAGAAAAAAAAGAAAUUCCCCAAAGAAGCAUCUGGGGCUUCCAAAGUGUGAUAUGAAGUGUUCACCAUAGAGUGGCAGCAGGAACCGUGUGCAUACAGGCAAGAUACGGCAUAUUCCUUUCAGACCAGUCCAGGAGUGCCAGAAAUAGAGGCAAAGACUUUGAAGAAGCAGCGAAUGGUUGAAUAAGGUUCUACUCAUUUUGGUGCGAAUUGCUCUAAUUGCUAUGAAGAAAUGCCACAGACGAGAAUCCUAUCAUGGAAGAGGAGGAUGGUCAACACGAAGAAUGAAGAAUAAUUCAGGAAGCAACCAACUUUUCAGAGAUUUCUAUAAGAUCCGAGAAAUUAGGAAGUAGGCAGCACUAAGAAGACGUCGCUACUACUUCUUAUGUAAUAAUAUACUCUAGGCAAAGCCGGUAAUUUUU